ACCUCCACCACGGCUGCUACUACCACAACUACUACCUCCACUGCUGCUACUACCACAACUACUACCUCCACUGCUGCUACUACCACAACUACUACCUCCACUGCUGCCUGGAGGACAUUAGAUAAUCAUGUGUCCACCUACAUCCAGUCAUAGAUUGAUUGGGAUGGAUUUUUAUGAUUGGCCGGCCACCAGAGAACUUCAGGACAAAGGGAUCUUCAUGGAACUUCAGGAAUAAUGUCUAUAUAACCAGUUCUACUCUCAAUAAACGUAUAAAGGCA